ensembl:lncRNA
GGCCCUUUACUGGGUGCAACUGGACAAAUGUCUCCUCCAGAAACAAAAUACAAAGAAACUAUAAGGGACUAAAAGUAACUGCAUGCAUUCACAGUUGGGGCAAAUUAUGAACAGCAGAUACAAAAAGGCCAAAACCCAACUGCCGCUUCUGAGAUGCCAGGAGCAAAAGCAGAGUACUCUGCAUGAUCCCUGCAAACAGCACCACUAAGGGGGUGAGCAGACCACCAGAGCCACCCGUCCAGCCCAACCCUCCAAUCUAUUCCUACACUCACCCAUUUGAGGGGCCAUCUCACUCUCCCCACCAGGAAUGAGCAAGGGCGCCAGUUACAUGUUUUCACUCCUUCGUGCUGUAGCACGGAUCCCAGUACAGCCUUGCCUAAAUUCUGCCAUCUGGCUUCUUAUCAAUUUCUGUUGAUUAAAGAGUCCAAGGACCCAGAUUGGCGGCAGCUGGGCUUCAGAAGCCCCUAGUCCUGCUAGAGAGUGAGUGGAGAACUCGCCCUGCCCAGCCUGGGGACCAACCAGCGUGUGGAGGGGAGUCACAUGGCUGUCAUCUUAUUGAUGUGUUUCACCUGCUUCCCCAGGACUGGGCUCUCUGGGAAGGCACAGAGGUGGGGUCUGGCGGGCAGAACCCAGGGUAUGCAGAUCCAAAAAAGGCUUGGUUCUGGUUCUUCUCCAUGAGAAUGGCAGCUCCCAUAUAGCGUCCUGAGUUUUACUCCAUUCUUCUUGGGGUGGCUUCUAUGCGUCCUGAAGAGGGCACGGCUGCCCCACUGGUUUUGCAUUUUCAAGAGAUGAUGGGCACGCUCAAGCUUCUCCUUGGCUGAUUCAUAGAAAAAGUCGUUGACGCCCUCCAGAGCCACAUCCUCUCCUUGGAAAUAGAAGCCCAGAGAGAGGACUAUAGUCAUUGCCACAUCUGGAAACUGUUCAUAGGUGCUGUCUCUGCUGCCACCUUCACGACAAGGGCUCCACUUGGUCCCAGAUUUGUAACAUCAUUUUCAAACUCAAAGUUUGGAGUUGAUGCAUCUGUUUGGCAGACUGGAUCAAACACCUGCAUCCCAUCUUUACAGAAGGCGAGGAAGGGGUAUAGCCUGUUAUCCCAGCACCAUUUGUUGAAAAUUAUAUUCUCCCCCCAUUAAUUUUCUGGACACCAUUGCAAUGGAUCUUCCAGACCCAGGGAUCGAAACUACAUCUCCUGCAUCUCCUGCAGUGGCAAAUGGAUUCUUUACUACUAAGCCACCUGGGCAGUCCCUUUGUAUCACAGAACAGCUGAACCCUAUAGGCAUUUCCACUAUGACAACUGGCAGAAUGUUAGGUUUGGCCAAUAGAGGGUGCUGGAAAGACACUGGGAAGCCAGAACAAGAGCAAGGACUUUCUCCUUCAGGUGGAUUGGCUUGCAGCAGAGGCCUGCUUGUGUUCACCUCAGCAAUCCUCGCGGUUCGCUUGUGCGGCCCCUGCCUCCAGCAAGUUUCUUCACCACAAGUGGACUGUGGACUGUAGGUUCCUGCGACAGCCAUGCCCUCUCCUCCUCAGCCAAGGGUAGCAGCUAUUCUUAUAGUUCCUGCUUCUAGACCCCUGAGAACCUACUCUCCCAUUUUUAGUAGUUAGAUACCUUUUACUGGUCAACAAAGUUUAUAUUAAAUUUUCCCUGUUCAAAUUACUAUUAUGAUUUCUGUCUUGUGGUUGGUCCCAGCAGAAAUACCUAGCAGAUAAGGGAAAAAAGACAGAUGUAAGUUAAUGUAAAUUCUGUGAGAGAAUAGGCCACUAUAAUCACAGCCCCAAAUCCAAAAAAGUUUCAGGUGUAAAUCUACAGAAUUAUGUAUCAGUUUGGAUUGUGUUCAACUGCACAUAACAGAAACCUGACUCAGUGGCUUAACCAAAUAGAUUGAUUUUCUCCUGUACCAUGA